rnacentral:misc_RNA from 1 species
UUUAAAAACAAAAGACCUGUUCUUCGAAAGAAAUUUCAAUCUGUGAUUGAUGACCUGUAUGCCGAAAUUGAAAAGUGAAAUGCUAAAUGAAAAACUAAAGAAUCAAUAUUAUAUAAAAAAUUACUAAAGUUUUAAGGUAUAUAUGUGACAUGAUGUCAAGACAGAGUAUUUGACAUCAAAAGAAUGUACAAGUUUUUCGGAAGAGUAAUGUACAUUACAGUGCAGGUAAUAUGGACACUUGCACUAUACUUUUUACACCUCUGUAGUUGACCAAUACAAUGCAGGCAUUUAAGGUAGGAUGGCCAUACUUAAUUCACACAUUGCAUGUGGCAAGAGAAAUAAUUCAACCUACUUAAUCUUAUAUUUACAGUAAAUAAACGAUUACACUAUGAUAUUGGACUCUUCAUAUACUUACGAAGAAUGUAUUACAUGUAUAUAACUAUUAUAGUACAUGUUAAGUAGAUAAGUAGAAAUAUCUACCCUCAUUAUGUUCAUGCUCAAACUAUAUUGAAAAACAUGUACAAAGGAUGUUUUGAAUCUGUUCACAUUGUUUACUUGAGAAAUAUUUUUUUAUCAUCAUCCAUUUGCAUACAUUAAUGAUAAUCAACAAUAAAAUUGUAAUUC